rnacentral:rRNA from 1 species
GAUGAACGCUGGCGGCGUGCCUAAUACAUGCCAGUCGAGCGAACAGACGAGGAGCUUGCUCCUCUGACGUUAGCGGCGGACGGGUGAGUAACACGUGGAUAACCUACCUAUAAGACUGGGAUAACUUCGGGAAACCGGAGCUAAUACCGGAUAAUAUAUUGAACCGCAUGGUUCAAUAGUGAAAGACGGUUUUGCUGUCACUUAUAGAUGGAUCCGCGCCGCAUUAGCUAGUUGGUAAGGUAACGGCUUACCAAGGCAACGAUGCGUAGCCGACCUGAGAGGGUGAUCGCCCAAACUGAAACUGAGACACGGUCCAGACUCCUACGGGAGGCAGAAGUAGGGAAUCUUCCGCAAUGGGCGAAAGCCUGACGGAGCAACGCCGCGUGAGUGAUGAAGGUCUUCGGAUCGUAAAACUCUGUUAUUAGGGAAGAACAAAUGUGUAAGUAACUAUGCACGUCUUGACGGUACCUAAUCAGAAAGCACGGCUAACUACGUG